CACGUAGGGCGCAAGCGUUGUCCGGAAUUAUUGGGCGUAAAGAGCUCGUAGGCGGUCUGUCGCGUCUGCUGUGAAAACCCGAGGCUCAACCUCGGGCCUGCAGUGGGUACGGGCAGACUAGAGUGCGGUAGGGGAGAAUGGAAUUCCUGGUGUAGCGGUGAAAUGCGCAGAUAUCAGGAGGAACACCGGUGGCGAAGGCGGGUCUCUGGGCCGAUACUGACGCUGAGGAGCGAAAGCGUGGGGAGCGAACAGG
rnacentral:rRNA from 1 species